rnacentral:rRNA from 1 species
GACGAACCGUGCGAACGUUAUUCGGAAUCACGUGGGCUUAAAGCGCGUGUAGGCGGGCCGGCACGUCGGUCGCUGAAAUCCCCCGGCUCAACCGGGGAAGUGGCGCCGAUACGACCGGCCUGGAGGGGGGUAGGGGGCGCGUGGAACGUCGAACGGUGGAGCGGUGAAAUGCGUUGAGAUCGUGAGGAACGCCCGCGGCGAAAGCGACGC